rnacentral:rRNA from 1 species
UACGAACCGUGCGAACGUUGUUCGGAAUCACUGGGCUUAAAGGGCGCGUAGGCGGGUGACCAAGUCAGGGGUGAAAUCUUUCGGCCCAACCGGAAAAGUGCCUCUGAUACUGGUCGUCUUGAGGGAGGUAGGGGUCGAGGGAACUGGUGGUGGAGCGGUGAAAUGCGUAGAUAUCACUAGGAACGCCGGUGGCGAAAGCGCUCGACUGGACCUCUUCUGACGCUGAGGCGCGAAAGCCAGGGGAGCAAACGGG